rnacentral:snoRNA from 1 species
UCAGUCCACCUCAAUGCCAGUCGAUUUUUAUGUCCAUAUCGCAACUAGGCAUAUUUAUAAAUUGGACUUAAAUAAAAGAGAUGCUUUAAUUAUCCUAGUGCCUGAGGAUUAUAAUAAAUAAUAUCUCCUCUUGCUCUCUUGGAACUUAAAGCAACAUU